rnacentral:rRNA from 1 species
GCCCGAAGAAAUUCGGAUUAAUAUCCCAUAACAUUCAUUUUGGGCAUCCAAGAUGAAUUAAAGUUCCGGCGGUUAAAGAUGGGCAUGCGUGGCAUUAGUUAGUUGGUGAGGUAACGGCUCACCAAGACAACGAUGCCUAGGGGUUCUGAGAGGAUUAUCCCCCACACUGGUACUGAGACACGGACCAGACUCCUACGGGAGGCAGCAGUGAGGAAUAUUGGGCAAUGGACGAAAGUCUGACCCAGCCAUGCCGCGUGCAGGAUUGACGGCCCUAUGGGUUGUAAACUGCUUUUGUUUGGGAAGAAACCCCCGUACGUGUACGGGACUGACGGUACCAGACGAAUAAGCAUCGGCUAACUCCGUGCCAGCAGCCGCGGUAAUACGGAGGAUGCGAGCGUUAUCCGGAUUUAUUGGGUUUAAAGGGUGUGUAGGCGGGAGAUUAAGUCAGUGGUGAAAUCCUGCAGCUUAACUGUAGAACUGCCAUUGAUACUGGUUUCCUUGAGUGUAGUUGAAGUGGGCGGAAUGUGUAUUGUAGCGGUGAAAUGCUUAGAUAUUACACAGAACACCUAUUGCGAAGGCAGCUCACUAAACCAAUACUGACGCUGAUGCACGAAAGCGUGGGGAGC